rnacentral:rRNA from 1 species
CCUACGGGCGGCAGCAGUGGGGAAUAUUGGACAAUGGGGGGAACCCUGAUCCAGCCAUGCCGCGUGUGUGAAGAAGGCCCUCGGGUUGUAAAGCACUUUCAGUGAGGAAGAACGCCUGGUGGUUAAUACCCAUCAGGAAAGACAUCACUCACAGAAGAAGCACCGGCUAACUCCGUGCCAGCAGCCGCGGUAAUACGGAGGGUGCGAGCGUUAAUCGGAAUUACUGGGCGUAAAGCGCGCGUAGGUGGCUUGAUAAGCCGGUUGUGAAAGCCCCGGGCUCAACCUGGGAACGGCAUCCGGAACUGUCAAGCUAGAGUGCAGGAGAGGAAGGUAGAAUUCCCGGUGUAGCGGUGAAAUGCGUAGAGAUCGGGAGGAAUACCAGUUGCGAAGGCGGCCUUCUGGACUGACACUGACACUGAGGUGCGAAAGCGUGGGUAGCAAACAGGAUUAGAUACCCCAGUAGUC